GUAACAUUAGGAAUGUUUAAAUAUUCAUUUGUAUUAUAAAAGGCCUUAGCAAGCAACUUUAUUUUAACGUACGAUUUAAAUUUAUUUAUUGACAACAUUUGUAUAUCACUAGGGAUUUUGUUGAAAAAACGUAUACAAUUGCCUUGGAAAGAAUAACUCGUUCGCAGCCUUGUAGUUGGUGCGCUAAUUUUGUCUUUAUUACGAGUAGGUACUAUAAUUAUGGAAACUACUUUUAUUUUUAAAGAUAUCUAUAUUUUUCCGCACAUACAAAAUAUUCUCAUAAAUGUAUUGCCAAAGUCAAAAUAUGUAAUUCUUUAAACUUCAUUCGGACCGACUCCCGUAGGGAUAGACCGCAGAUCGCUCUUAUAGCUUUGCACUACAAGUAUGGAUUUAACGUCAACUUUAUUACCCCACAAAAUAACACCAUAUGACAUGAUACUAUGAAAAUAGCUCAAAUAAACAAGCUUUGCUGUAUUCUCAUCCGUAAGAUCGCAUAUCUUUUACACUGCGAACUGUGACAGGUGCAAUGCUUGCAAGUUUUCCAUGCCGAUGGGAAGUCGCCUAUUCCCAAGCAUUCUGUAAGACUUUGAAAUCGCACACCAAGACCAGCGCCGAAGGUACCUGCCUGCCAUUAGUGUUAAGUGCCUUCCAAACUGAUACAAUAAGUAUUCGUGAUUCUUAGAAAUGAAGCUUGUAUUUGAUUGUAGUCAUUUUACAUUUUAAGAUGCGACUGUCAGUGUCAAUCGUCAAGUCGAAUGCUGCAAAUGGUUGAAGUUUUCUCUGCUGUCAAAAUACUCUAAUGUCAGCGCUAAUUGACAGCUAACGAAAUCCGAAUUCCAAUCUUAAAGGAAGUUGUUUUGUUAAAAAGUUGUCGUGGUUCAAGAUUUAGAGUUAUAUCAAGUAGAUUCAAAUUGUCUAAAUCAACUUCGUGCUAUUUGUAAAAACGGAAAAGCUGUAUAACAAAACAUGGCAACUGUGCAUGAACCAACUGUUGUGGGAGUUGCUCACUUCAAUGCAGCUGAAGAUGCAGCGGCUUUACGAGGAGCCAUGAAAGGAUUUGGUACAGAUGAAGAUGCAAUCAUAGAAAUUCUUACAUCCAGAUCAAAUGCCCAGCGGCAGGCCAUCUCACAAGCUUUUACUCUUGAGUAUGGGAGGGACAUCAUUGAAGACCUCAAGUCAGAACUUGGUGGUCAUUUUGAAGAUGUUAUAGUUGCUUUGAUGCUGCCACCAGCUGAGUACCUUUGCAAAGAGUUGCACCAUUGCAUGGAAGGCAUGGGAACUGAUGAAAAAGUACUGGUAGAAAUCCUAUGUACUCGAACUAAGAAAGAGAUUGCUGAGAUUGUUGAAGCAUAUGAAAGAUUAUACAAUCGGCCAUUAGCAGAACAUAUGUGUUCAGAAACAUCUGGAGAUUUUCGUAGACUUCUAACUCUGAUUGUUACUGCAAAAAAACAGGGCGCUCGUGAUGAAGAAGCCGGAGUCGAUCAGGCUAGAGCAGCCGAGGCAGCUCAGCAGCUUUACGACGCGGGAGAGGCCAAGUGGGGAACUGAUGAGGAGAUAUUCAACAAGAUUCUAGCACACGAGAGUUUUGGCCAACUGCGCGCUAUUUUUGAGGAGUACAAGAACAUCGCGGGUCGUACGAUUGAGCAGGCAAUCAAGGCCGAGAUCGCUGGAGAAUUAUCUGAGGCACUCAGUGCAAUCGUGGAAUGCGUGGAAAACCAAGCGGCCUGGUUCGCUCAGCGGCUUCGGGAUGCCAUGCAAGGUCUCGGCACUGACGAUAGGACCCUUAUCAGGAUCGUCGUCUCCCGGUCCGAGCGAGACCUCGCCGCUAUCAAGCGGGAGUACGAGGUCUUGUAUGACAAGACUCUCGGCAGCGAAGUCAGGUGGAAUGUGUGGAGAACUCGGCGGCUUGGUUCGCAAAGAGACUGCGCAGUUCCAUGCAAGGGGGCGGGACCGAAGAUAAGGCCUUGAUAAGGAUUAUCGUGAACCGAUCCGAGAUCGAUCUCGCGGCUGUCAAGAGGGAGUAUGAAAGUCUGUAUGACAAGACUCUGCAGAGUGACGUUGCGCAGGGAGAGACUUCUGGCGACUACAGGAAGGCUCUCAUCGCUCUACUUGGACCCGCCUAAGUUAAAUUUAAGAAUUGAGAUAGUGUAAGGAAUUGUAUUGCACUAAAAGUGUUUUUGGCUGCUAUUCACUUUAUAUAAAAGUUUUCUCGAAUAUCUUUUUCUAGAUUGUUAUACGUGUAAGUUUUUUUUAUAAUAAAAAUAUUUAAUUUUUCCUACUUAGGGUAGAGAAACAAAACAUUUUCCUAAGUUUAUGGCCUUAAUGAUGCAAAAAUGCUUUGAAUGUUGAAUAAGUCCAGAGAUAUAUGAAGUGUUAAAAGACAUUUAUUUAUACGAAAUCAUUCCACCGUUUCAAUUGAUUGUACUCAGUAUUUAGAUAGCUUUUGUUUAUUAUUCAUAAUAUUUAUUAAAUACUAUUUUGAA